rnacentral:tRNA from 2 species
UUGAUAGCUCAGUUGGUAGAGCAAAGGACUGAAAAUCCUUGUGUCACUGGUUCGAUUCCAGUUCA